UCGAACGGUGAAGCCAAGCUUGCUUGGUGGAUCAGUGGCGAACGGGUGAGUAACACGUGAGCAACCUGCCCUGGACUCUGGGAUAAGCGCUGGAAACGGUGUCUAAUACUGGAUAUGAGCUCUCAUCGCAUGGUGGGGGUUGGAAAGAUUUUUCGGUCUGGGAUGGGCUCGCGGCCUAUCAGCUUGUUGGUGAGGUAAUGGCUCACCAAGGCGUCGACGGGUAGCCGGCCUGAGAGGGUGACCGGCCACACUGGGACUGAGACACGGCCCAGACUCCUACGGGAGGCAGCAGUGGGGAAUAUUGCACAAUGGGCGGAAGCCUGAUGCAGCAACGCCGCGUGAGGGAUGACGGCCUUCGGGUUGUAAACCUCUUUUAGCAGGGAAGAAGCGAGAGUGACGGUACCUGCAGAAAAAGCGCCGGCUAACUACGUGCCAGCAGCCGCGGUAAUACGUAGGGCGCAAGCGUUAUCCGGAAUUAUUGGGCGUAAAGAGCUCGUAGGCGGUUUGUCGCGUCUGCUGUGAAAUCCCGAGGCUCAACCUCGGGCCUGCAGUGGGUACGGGCAGACUAGAGUGCGGUAGGGGAGAUUGGAAUUCCUGGUGUAGCGGUGGAAUGCGCAGAUAUCAGGAGGAACACCGAUGGCGAAGGCAGAUCUCUGGGCCGUAACUGACGCUGAGGAGCGAAAGGGUGGGGAGCAAACAGGCUUAGAUACCCUGGUAGUCCACCCCGUAAACGUUGGGAACUAGUUGUG
rnacentral:rRNA from 1 species